rnacentral:rRNA from 1 species
UACGGAGGGUGCAAGCGUUAUCCGGAAUGAUUGGGCGUAAAGAGUCCGUAGGUGGUGAUUCAAGUCGAUUGUUAAAGAGCGGGGCUUAACCCCGUAGAAGCAGUGGAAACUGAAUCACUAGAGAGAGGUAGGGGUAGAGGGAAUUCCCGGUGUAGCGGUGGAAUGCGUAGAGAUCCGGAAGAACACCAGUGGCGAAGGCGGCUCACUGGCCCGGUACUGACGCUGAGGUGCGAAAGCGUGGGGAGCAAACAGGG